GUGGAAUGGCUCAGUGGUAGAGCAGACGACUGAACAUCCUUAAGUCAUCAGUUCAAUUAUGACUCUCCACA
rfam:Hammondia hammondi strain H.H.34 contig00637, whole genome shotgun sequence.